UCGGGAAUUUUGGGCAAUGGGGGAAACCCUGACCCAGCAACGCCGCGUGAAGGAUGAAGUAUUUCGGUAUGUAAACUUCGAAAGAAUAGGAAGAAUAAAUGACGGUACUAUUUAUAAGGUCCGGCUAACUACGUGCCAGCAGCCGCGGUAAUACGUAGGGACCAAGCGUUGUUCGGAUUUACUGGGCGUAAAGGGCGCGUAGGCGGCAUGACAAGUCACUUGUGAAAUCUCUGGGCUUAACCCAGAACGGCCAAGUGAUACUGUCGCGCUAGAGUGCAGAAGGGGCAAUCGGAAUUCUUGGUGUAGCGGUGAAAUGCGUAGAUAUCAAGAGGAACACCUGAGGUGAAGACGGGUUGCUGGGCUGACACUGACGCUGAGGCGCGAAAGCCAGGGGAGCAAACGGGAUUAGAUACCCCUGUAGUCCCUGAGCGGGCUGGCAAGGCGCGAU
rnacentral:rRNA from 1 species